CUGUAAUUAUGUAAAUCCAACUAUUAUCUGUCGGUUUUCCACCGUGUUCUUCAGAUGCGUUUCUACUUGAGACCAAAGCGUCCGCGCGCGUGUCCCCCGCAGAAGACACGGGGACAGGUGUGGCCUUCCGCACCUGAAGAGAAACCGACAGCUUGAAAACGCACGUCUCUCUCGGCUGAUCGAUAUCAGCAGCUCUCAACUGAGGGUGAAACUGUGUGUGUGUGUGUGUGUGUGUGUGUGUGUGUGUGUGUCUGUGUGUGUGUGUGUGUGUGUGUGUGGGGGGGGGGCUGUGAUUUCACCAGCGCGGUGCGCAGACACGGUGAAAUACGGCCUCUCUUGUGUCGAUACGUUCGGGUCGUAUGACGAGACGAAGCGCUCUUUCAUCCUCGUCAACGGAAUAAAACAAACCUGGAUCUGAAGUUUACAGUCGUGAAAAUGUUCUUGUUGACAAACCGGUUGGCAGCUGCGAACUGAUGACCUAAUAGCUCCUGAUCAUUUGAGGCUCAAUAAGUCAGGAAGAUGUUGAGAUCUUUAACCCGCACGUGUCCUCCUGCAUGAGGUGAAGUGGGCCUCGUAGCCCACGGGCAGCGUCUCUGUGCCUGGGGGGGCAUCUCCAGUCCACAGAUGGACGAGCAGUGGGGAUAAGAUGACUGCCGUCCGCUGGCAGAUGGUACGAGUUCCCCUCAGCCGAGAGUUGUGACUCCAGCUCUCGGCCUGUGUGUGUGUGUGUGUGUGUGUGUGUGUGUGUGGGGGGGGGGGGGGGGGGGGGGGUGCAGAUUAAUGUGUGUAUCUGUUUCAGGGUCAGAAAUUAGCAGGUGCUGAGGACAAAAGUGCCCUUGAUAGUCAACAUUGCACACGUUGCCGUUCUGGCCGACGUAACAUUUCUAAAUUAUUGAUCGGUUCUCGCUGAACUGUGAGAGAAAAAAAGCACAUUUACACUUAUGAGCUGUUAAAGAAAUGAAGUAUAUGUCUCAGCGUAUAUAUAAUAUACAAGAAGCGCCGUAUUGUCUCAGCCAACCAGCUUCCACUUAUUACACUUAAUAAAUAUACUUAUAACUGUGUGUGCAGCCGCAGUAGUUUGUGAAUCAGGGCCACGGAUUGUUUUGUGAGGACAAAGUGACCGUGACCUUUGACCUUUGCUCUGUGUUAUUCUUAUCCCCUCUGUAUUUACCGACCCCCCCUGUGUGUGUGUGUGUGUGUGUGUGUUUAAGUGAAUGUUGUGUCUGUGGAGGCAGAUUACGAGAGGAACGUGGCAGAAGAAAAGAAAAGAACGGUAGAAAUUAAAGGAUAG
ensembl:lncRNA